rnacentral:tRNA from 2 species
GGUGAGAUGGCCGAGUUGGUCCAUGGCGCGAGGUUAAGGUCUCAAUCUUAACGCGAUUUCCUCGUGGGGAAACCCUCGUGGGUUCGAAUCCCACUCUCAUCA